AAAUUCAUUCCACAGUUUGUCGGUCAACCAAUACAGGAGAAUAAAAUGAUAAUAAUAAUACAAUUCUCCAAGAUUUCAUUAACUUAGGCCCAACAAUAUCAUUACACCACAAGUUCAUAAGAUGCACCAACCAAAAUAACAUAGCUAGUAGCUUAGUAUCAGUACACCAUGUUCAUAAGAUGCACCAACCAAAACACAACCUCAUCAAACCACAACCAAUCUCUUGUCGAUAUUGUGGUUCACAUGUCCAUUCAAAGAAACUCGUCAACCCCUGGUCCAAACAACUCAACAUCAAAAGUCCUGAUGAUGCUCACUAACCUGCAGGACAAACAAGGCCAUAGGUGAGCUCCAGCAAAGGCACUUCCUGAUGAUUUCAGGGCAGAAGAUUGCACCUAACUAUACACCAAGAACACAACUGCUGGAAACUGUUAAGACAUACAAAUAUGUGCACGCCAAAAAAUAGCAGAUCUGUGAAGGGGUGUCUAUUAGCAAAUUUUGGUCUAAGUACAACAUAGGCAGGCAAAUGCUUAGUGUAACUAAUGAACUGUUGUUGUUUGCGUUUCUGAAAUUUGCUAAAUGAAGACGAAUACACCAACAACUAAUGAACUCUAUCUACACAUGCUCCAUCUCUAGACGAACAGAGCAAAAAAAUUCCAAAUCUCUCCAAGCACACAAAAAUGAUCUCAAUCCAUGAAUUGCCUCGCGCAUUGCACGGAACAGGGUGCAUACACAUCAACAGUGUAUGAAGCAUCUCCCCCCCUCAAUCCCUCUCACCAGCAGCAGCAUAUGAAGCAGCCGAUCUGUCAACCAAGACUACUGCGGCGACUGACUACUAGUACGACAUACACCAAAAAACGAUCAAGGAUAUCAAUGUCAAGACAGGUACAAAAGCACGGAGAACUGGAUUAACAGUCGUCCAAGCAGCUAGCGCUGACAGUUAGACACUUAAUCUCCCCAAACACCAGUGAAGACAUAUUUCCGACAGAUAACUUGGCACUGAAGCCGCAUCUAAACUAAACAGUUGACUGAACAAAAGAGCGUGGCAGUAGAUAGUUAUCGGGAAGGAAGGAGUACUGGAAAAGACAAGUCACCUCCUUCAACUGAUCAAAAGUAUGCUUUAUUAGAUCAAAAUUACUAUCAUUUUAGCCUCAUCUGUACACAGACUUAUUAACUUAGUGCCAGUAAAUCUACAACACAAGCAUCUCAUUUGGGAACAAGGACAAAC
rnacentral:lncRNA from 1 species